rnacentral:rRNA from 1 species
CCUACGGGUGGCAGCAGUGAGGAAUAUUGGUCAAUGGACGAGAGUCUGAACCAGCCAAGGAGCGUGAAGGAUGACAGCCCGAUGGGUUGUAAACUUCUUUUAUAUGGGAAUAAAACGCUCCACGUGUGGGAUUUUGUAUGUACCUUAUGAAUAAGGAUCGGCUAACUCCGUGCCAGUAGCCGCGGUAAUACGGAGGAUCCGAGCGUUAUCCGGAAUUAUUGGGUUUAAAGGGAGCGUAGGUGGUUUGUUAAGUCAGUUGUGAAAGUUUGCGGGUCAACCGUGAAAUUGCAGUUGAAACUGGCAGUCUUGAGUACAGUCGAGGUAGGCGGAAUUCGUGGUGUAGCGGUGAAAUGCUUAGAUCUCACGAAGAACUCCGAUUGCGAAGGCAGUUCACUGGACUGCAACUGACACUGAGGCUCGAAAGUGUGGGUAUCAAACAGGAUUAGAUACCCUUGUAGUC